AUUGAACUUGAAAACAUAUUUACAGCCUAGAUGUUGGGGUUGGACCUUCUGUAAACUCUAAAGGCAGUUUAUAAAUUAAAUGCACGAGUGAUGUGACUCUGCUAUAUUUAUGCUGAGGAAUUAAAUAGCAAAAUCUAGUAUUUCACUGAUGUAUUUAUAUAAAGUAUCUGCUAUAACCUUGUAUAGUACAUUACAUGAUAAUCAUAUUUGAACCUUCCUUCUGGGGACACUAUCUCUCAAGACGUUUUAUGCACCAUGUCAACAAGGUAAGGCACGGACAUUUCAUAUUUAUCCUGAAGAGUGAUACUUCCAAUUCUGUUCAUUCUUCUACUUGAGAAUUUAUUAUAGCACACAUGGAACUUUUGAUUGUCAUCAAACAUCUUGCAAAAUAAUUGAUGUGAAAGUUACAGAAAAGGACACAGAAAAAGAUGGAUCAAUGUGACUGAUAAAGAGGGACUAUGAAAAUAACACCUGUCAAAAUUCCCAAGAUUCUCUUUAAUAAAA
rnacentral:lncRNA from 1 species